rnacentral:rRNA from 1 species
GAUGAACGCUAGCGGCAGGCUUAACACAUGCAAGUCGAGGGGUAACAGGGUAGCAAUACCGCUGACGACCGGCAAACGGGUGCGGAACACGUACACAAUCUACCAUUGUCUGGGGUAUAGCCCGGAGAAAUCCGGAUUAAACCCCCCACCUAAGUAAGUAUUUAGUUAAAGGAACGACUACUUUCCUUAGAAGUAAUUUAAAUUUAAACUUCCCGGUACCGGGGAACGAAACUAAGUAGUAGUAGGUAGGUUGGUCGGU